rnacentral:rRNA from 1 species
CUACGUGCCAGCAGCCGCGGUAAUACGGAGGAUGCGAGCGUUAUCCGGAAUCAUUGGGUUUAAAGGGUCCGUAGGCGGGCUGAUAAGUCAGAGGUGAAAGCGCUUAGCUCAACUAAGCAACUGCCUUUGAAACUGUCAGUCUUGAAUGAUUGUGAAGUAGUUGGAAUGUGUAGUGUAGCGGUGAAAUGCUUAGAUAUUACACAGAACACCGAUAGCGAAGGCAUAUUACCAACAAUUUAUUGACGCUGAUGGACGAAAGCGUGGGGAGCGAACAGGAUUAGAUACCCUGGUAGUCCACGCUGUAAACGAUGGAUACUAGCUGUUUGGAGCAAUCUGAGUGGCUAAGCGAAAGUGAUAAGUAUCCCACCUGGGGAGUACGCCGGCAACGGUGAAACUCAAAGGAAUUGACGGGGGCCCGCACAAGCGGAGGAACAUGUGGUUUAAUUCGAUGAUACGCGAGGAACCUUACCCGGGCUUGAA